CAGAGUUCNAGAAAACUCCCAACCCCGUGCUUCCAUACCGCAUCUUCCAGCGCCCGUUGCCUCCCGGCGGGCGGCGCCCUCCCUCUGGGGGGGACCGCCCGCCGGGGGCUGCGCGGCCGUUCCAGAACGCAUUGCAGUCUUUAGUGCCUGUCUGAGCAGACCACAGAAUCGUUAAAACUUUCAACAACGGAUCUCUUGGUUCUGGCAUCGAUGAAGAACGCAGCGAACUGCGAUAAGUAAUGUGAAUUGCAGAAUUCAGCGAACCAUCGAAUCUUUGAACGCACAUUGCGUUUUCCAGCAUUCUGGCGGGCAUGCCUGUCCGAGCNUCAUUUCCACCCUCACGCGCCCCGGCGCGUGGUGUUGGGGCAUGCUGCGGCGGCCGCGAGGCCCCGCAGGCCCCUAAAACCAGUGGCGGGCCGGCAGCGGGCUCCGAGCGCAGUAAGCAGCAACGCCCUCGCUCUGGACGCCCCCGCCGGCUCCCGCCUACAGCGGAAGCUGACCCCCAUCGCAAGGU
rnacentral:rRNA from 1 species